CCUACGGUGUGCAGCAGUGGGGAAUAUUGCACAAUGGAGGGAACUCUGAUGCAGCGACGCCGCGUGAGUGAAGAAGUAAUUCGUUAUGUAAAGCUCUAUCAGCAGGGAAGAAAGUGCCGGUACCUGAAAAAGAAGCCACGGCUAAAUACGUGCCAGCAGCCGCGGUACUACGUGAGGAGCAAGCUUUAUCCGGAUUUACUGGGUGUAAAGGGAGAGUAGGUGGCAGAGCAAGUCCGAAGUGAAAACCCAAAGCUCAACUAUGGGAAUGAUGUAGAAACUGCUCAGCUAGAGUGCAGGAAAGGCAAGUGGAAUUCGUAGUGUAGCGGUGAAAUGCGUAGAUAUUAGGAGGAACACCAGUGGCGAAGGCGGCUUGCUGGACUGUAACUGACACUGAGGCUCGAAAGCGUGGGGAGCAAACAGGAUUAGAGACCCCAGUAGUC
rnacentral:rRNA from 1 species